GAUGAAGAACGCAGCGAAACGCGAUAAGUAAUGUGAAUUGCAGAAUCCAGUGAAUCAUCGAAUCUUUGAACGCACAUUGCGCCCGCCAGCAUUCUGGCGGGCAUGCCUGUUCGAGCGUCAUUUCAACCCUCGACCUCCCCUUGGGGAGGUCGGCGUUGAGGACCGGCAGCACACCGCCGGCCCUGAAAUGGAGUGGCGGCCCGUCCGCGGCGACCUCUGCGCAGUAAUACAGCUCGCACCGGGACCCCGACGCGGCCACGCCGUAAAACACCCAACUUCUGAACGUUGACCUCGAAUCAGGUAGGACUACCCGCUGAACUUAAGCAUAUCAAUAAGCGGAGGA
rnacentral:misc_RNA from 1 species